rnacentral:misc_RNA from 1 species
AAGUCGUAACAAGGUUUCCGUAGGUGAACCUGCGGAAGGAUCAUUACCAAAUCCAAAUACCCAAACCCCAUGUGAACUAUUGUAUAGUCUGUCUUUGGGAGAAAGACGAAAAAGGGACAAAAUAAAAAUUAUUAUAUAGUUUUCGUUUUGUCCUUUCAAGUUUUUCUCCCAAUAGAGUCCGGCGCAAGCUUUUUUAAUAAAGGUUUACGUCCAGAUUCGAAAACCCCCAAAACCACUUGAUUUUUCUGUUGGAAUUUUCUUUUAUUAAAUUCAAAUAAAAGACAACUUUUAACGGUGGAUCUCUUGGCUCGUG